rnacentral:rRNA from 1 species
CCUACGGGUGGCAGCAGUGAGGAAUAUUGGUCAAUGGGCGAGAGCCUGAACCAGCCAAGUCGCGUGAGGGAGUACUGCCCUAUGGGUUGUAAACCUCUUUUGUCGGGGAGCAAAAGCCGGACGUGUCCGGCUGUGAGAGUACCCGAAGAAAAAGCAUCGACUAACUCCGUGCCAGCAGCCGCGGUAAUACGGAGGAUGCGAGCGUUAUCCGGAUUUGUUGGGUUUAAAGGGUGCGCAGGCGGAUUUUUAAGUCAGCGGGAAAAUCGUGGGGCUCAACCCCAUCCAGCCGUUGAAACUGGGGAUCUAGAGUGUGCGAGGGGGAGGCGGAAGGCGUGGUGUAGCGGUGAAAUGCAUAGAUAUCACGCAGAACCCGGAUUGAGAAGGAAGCAUACGGGUGCACAACUGACGCUCAGGAACGAAAGCGUGGGUAUCGAACAGGAUUAGAUACCCUAGUAGUC